rnacentral:lncRNA from 1 species
GAGCCUUUUGAUUUUUUUUAUUUAACUGAUUUUCUACUUCAUUUUUAUUUCUUAGCAAGUAUACUAUAGUACAUCUAGAAUAGUUGUCAAUAAAUGUCAUGUAGCACCUUUUUCUUCCUCUAGUCAUUGUUUACUUUAAAUUAUCUAGAUCUAUAUGAAUUAAAUCUAAUAUCUCACUUACUCUUUCUGCCGACUUACAAGAUUUUUUAGUAAUCUUAGACUUAGCACAAACUUUACACUUGUCCAUAUUUUCAUUAGUCAAACUAGAGAUUAAAGUUCUUUCAUUUUCUUGAUAUAGGACAUCUUAAUAUGAUCUAAUCCACAAUACCAUAGAUCA